AUGCAGUGAACUAAGCCAACUAGGUUCCUUUUCUUGUGGGUACCCAGGGUACAGUGACCCCAAAAUAGCAAGCCCCUAGCUGUGUCUGCUGACUGUUGCUUGUGUGAGUUGCCCUACAGGACCUUGAAGAAGCGC
ensembl:snoRNA SNORA70 Small nucleolar RNA SNORA70